UGACUAAGCCAUGCAAGUCGAGAGGGUUCGGCCCUCGGCGUACUGCUCAGUAACACGUGGAUAACCUGCCCUAGGGAAGGGGAUAACCCCGGGAAACUGGGGAUAAUACCCUAUAGGUUACAGAUGCUGGAAUGCUCUGUAACCCAAAGUUCCGGCGCCCUAGGAUGGAUCUGCGGCCGAUUAGGUUGUUGUUGGGGUAAUGGCCCAACAAGCCAGUAAUCGGUACGGGUUGUGGGAGCAAGAGCCCGGAGUUGGAUUCUGAGACACGAAUCCAGGCCCUACGGGGCGCAGCAGGCGCGAAAACUUUACAAUGCGGGCAACCGUGAUAAGGGAACCUCGAGUGCCUGUAAAUGCAGGCUGUUUAGGUGUUUAAAACGCACCUGGAGAAAGGGCCGGGCAAGACCGGUGCCAGCCGCCGCGGUAAUACCGGCGGCUCGAGUGGUGGCCACUUUUAUUGGGCUUAAAGCGUUCGUAGCUGGGUUGUUAAGUCUCUUGGGAAAUCUGGCGGCUUAACCGUCAGGCGUCUAAGGGAUACUGGCAAUCUUGGAACCGGGAGAGGUGAGGGGUACUUCGGGGGUAGGAGUGAAAUCCUGUAAUCCUCGAGGGACCACCUGUGGCAAAGGCGCCUCACCAGAACGGCUUCGACAGUGGGGGACGAAAGCUGGGGGAGCAAACCGGAUUAGAUACCCGGGUAGUCCCAGCCGUAAACUAUGCGCGUUAGGUGUAUCGGUGACCACGAGUUACCGAGGUGCCGAAGGGAAACCGUGAAACGUGCCGCCUGGGAAGUACGGUCGCAAGGCUGAAACUUAAAGGAAUUGGCGGGGGAGCA
rnacentral:rRNA from 1 species